rnacentral:rRNA from 1 species
GACGAACGCUGGCGGCGUGCCUAACACAUGCAAGUCGAACGGAACUUACCGAAUGAAGUUUUCGGAUGGAUUUUGAUAAGUUUAGUGGCGGACGGGUGAGUAACGCGUGAGUAACCUGCCUUCAAGAGGGGAAUAACGUUCUGAAAGAACGCUAAUACCGCAUAACAUACGGAUGUCGCAUGGCAACCGUAUCAAAGAUUUUAUCGCUUGAAGAUGGACUCGCGUCCGAUUAGCCAGUUGGCGGGGUAACGGCCCACCAAAGCGACGAUCGGUAGCCGGACUGAAAGGUUGAACGGCCACAUUGGGACUGAGACACGGCCCAGACUCCUACGGGAGGCAGCAGUGGGGGAGAUUAGUCGCGACUAAGGGGUCGGGGAACCCUACCCGUACGGACCGACGACGAACCGAACCCGGCCCGGUCGGUAACGGAACGUAGUAAGGGUAACGGUUUCC